CCAAAGGCUCUUUUAAGAGCCACCCACUUUUUCAACAAAAGAGCUU
rfam:Taeniopygia guttata chromosome 1A, whole genome shotgun sequence.